rnacentral:rRNA from 1 species
AUCCCAGUUCGGAUUGCAGGCUGCAACCCGCCUGUAUGAAGUUGGAAUCGCUAGUAAUCGCGGGUCAGCAUACCGCGGUGAAUACGUUCCCGGGCCUUGUACACACCGCCCGUCACACCACGAAAGUUGGUAACACCCGAAGCCGGUGGCCUAACCCUUAGGGGAGGGAGCUGUCGAAGGUGGGACUGAUGAUUGGGGUGAAGUCGUAACAAGGUACC